GAUCCUGGCUCAGGACGAACGCUGGCGGCGUGCUUAACACAUGCAAGUCGAACGCUGAAGCCUAGCUUGCUGGGUGGAUGAGUGGCGAACGGGUGAGUAACACGUGAGUAACCUGCCCUCUUCUUUGGGAUAACGCCCGGAAACGGGUGCUAAUACUGGAUAUUCACUGGCCUUCGCAUGGGGGUUGGGUUGGGAAAGGUUUUUUACUUGGUGGGGGAGUGGGCUCGCGGCCUAUCAGCUUGUUGGUGGGGUGAUGG
rnacentral:rRNA from 1 species